rnacentral:rRNA from 1 species
UACGUAGGGUGCGAGCGUUAAUCGGAAUUACUGGGCGUAAAGCGUGCGCAGGCGGUUAUUUAAGACAGAUGUGAAAUCCCCGGGCUCAACCUGGGAACUGCAUCAGUGACUGCAUAGCUAGAGUGCAGCAGAGGGGGAUGGAAUUCCCCGUGUAGCAGUGAAAUGCGUAGAUAUGCGGAUGAACACCGAUGGCGAAGGCAAUCCCCUGGGCCUGCACUGACGCUCAUGCACGAAAGCGUGGGGAGCAAACAGG